GUGAAAACGGAAACAACAAGAAUGCCGGCUCACUGUGCUGCAUACAAUUACACACUGCGUCGUACGAUUGAGGCAAGGAAACUUGGAAUGACUUUUCAUAGGUUUCCCAGAGACUAUGGGUUGAGGAGGAAUUGGAAGUUUGUCGGCUUAGACCUGGUGUCAUUCCAUCAGUGUUAAACUUCCCGGCUCAUCUUGGAAGAGUACGUGCCAGAAAGACCACAACCAAGCAGCCUUGAGAUCUUAGGCAGCGUCUCCCUGAGGUCCCUCUCUAUCUCCCCACACAUCCACCAACCACUGGAACACAUCUCCAAAGUUCUGCCGGGCCAGCUCAACUUCCCCUCAGAAGAAGUGGUGCCACCUGCCAGAUGAAGGAGCCUUUUGAGAGGCAGCUGGCAUCGUGAUUGGACUGUACAUUGGUCUGUUCCAAUCCAGCUUCAGCUCCAGAGACGGCAGGCGGGACGAGUCAAUGGAGGCCUGGUGGACGAAGGCAUGCAGCUGAGUACAAUCCAGAAAACAACAGAGGAGGAGUGCAGUGGCCCAGAGCCAGAACAGAGUAGCAUCAUAUGUCUCUUAGAAAACAUCAUAGUACAGCCUUUGGUAUGAAAAAACACCAUCAUAUACAUCGUAUAUUGUACAAAUAACAAGUCAAAGGAAAGAGACAUACAUUGUAGAAUUGUAGUAAUUGUGGGCUGACUGAUUUACUGAUUAUCAGUAUUUUAUUUUUUACUGAUUUACGGUAAUAAAUACAUUUAAAAAUGGU